UGGAUUGCUUUGUGUGAAAUGUUUGGAUGUUUGGAGCAUGUUUUGCAGUACUGUAAAGCAUGCUCCAAACAUCCAAACAUUUCAAACAAAGCAAUCCA
rnacentral:pre_miRNA from 1 species